AAUCCAUAGGUUAAUGAGGCGAACCGGGGGAACUGAAACAUCUAAGUACCCCGAGGAAAAGAAAUCAACCGAGAUUCCCCCAGUAGCGGCGAGCGAACGGGGAGGAGCCCAGAGCCUGAAUCAGCAUGUGUGUUAGUGGAAGCGUCUGGAAAGGCGCGCGAUACAGGGUGACAGCCCCGUACACAAAAGCGCAUGUGCUGUGAGCUCGAUGAGUAGGGCGGGACACGUGGUAUCCUGUCUGAAUAUGGGGGGACCAUCCUCCAAGGCUAAAUACUCCUGACUGACCGAUAGUGAACCAGUACCGUGAGGGAAAGGCGAAAAGAACCCCGGCGAGGGGAGUGAAAAAGAACCUGAAACCGUGUACGUACAAGCAGUGGGAGCACAGGUUUACCUGUGUGACUGCGUACCUUUUGUAUAAUGGGUCAGCGACUUAUAUUCUGUAGCAAGGUUAACCGAAUAGGGGAGCCGGAGGGAAACCGAGUCUUAAUUGGGCGUUAAGUUGCAGGGUAUAGACCCGAAACCCGGUGAUCUAGCCAUGGGCAGGUUGAAGGUUGGGUAACACUAACUGGAGGACCGAACCGACUAAUGUUGAAAAAUUAGCGGAUGACCUGUGGCUGGGGGUGAAAGGCCAAUCAAACCGGGAGAUAGCUGGUUCUCCCCGAAAGCUAUUUAGGUAGCGCCUCGUGAAUUCAUCUCCGGGGGUAGAGCACUGUUUCGGCUAGGGGGCCAUCCCGGCUUACCAACCCGAUGCAAACUGCGAAUACCGGAGAAUGUUAUCACGGGAGACACACGGCGGGUGCUAACGUCCGUCGUGAAGAGGGAAACAACCCAGACCGCCAGCUAAGGUCCCAAAGUCAUGGUUAAGUGGGAAACGAUGUGGGAAGGCCCAGACAGCCAGGAUGUUGGCUUAGAAGCAGCCAUCAUUUAAAGAAAGCGUAAUAGCUCACUGGUCGAGUCGGCCUGCGCGGAAGAUGUAACGGGGCUAAACCAUGCACCGAAGCUGCGGCAGCGAACGUAUCACUUAAAGCGAUUCAGCGGGUUACGAUUGACGGAGCGAAGCGACGUCAAAGCGUAUAC
rnacentral:rRNA from 1 species